GUGCCAGCCGCCGCGGUAAUUCCAGCUCCAAUAGCGUAUAUUAAAGUUGUUGUGGUUAAAAAGCUCGUAGUUGAACCUUGGGCCUGGCUGGCCGGUCCGCCUCACCGCGUGCACUGGUCCGGCCGGGCCUUUCCCUCUGUGGAACCCCAUACCCUUCACUGGGCGUGGCGGGGAAACAGGACAUUUACUUUGAAAAAAUUAGAGUGCUCCAGGCAGGCCUAUGCUCGAAUACAUUAGCAUGGAAUAAUAAAAUAGGACGCGCGGUUCUAUUUUGUUGGUUUAUAGGACCGCCGUAAUGAUUAAUAGGGACAGUCGGGGGCAUCAGUAUUCAACUGUCAGAGGUGAAAUUCUUGGAUCAGUUGAAGACUAACUACUGCGAAAGCAUUUGCCAAGGAUGUUUUCAUUAAUCAGGAACGAAAGUUAGGGGAUCGAAGACGAUCAGAUACCGUCGUAGUCUUAACCAUAAACUAUGCCGACUAGGGAUCGGACGGUGUUAUUCAUGACCCGUUCGGCACCUUACGAGAAAUCAAAGUGCUUGGGCUCCAGGGGGAGUAUGGUCGCAAGGCUGAAACUUAAAGAAAUUGACGGAAGGGCACCACCAGGGGUGGAGCCUGCGGCUUAAUUUGACUCAACACGGGGAAACUCACCAGGUCCAGACACAAUAAGGAUUGACAGAUUGAGAGCUCUUUCUUGAUUUUGUGGUGGUGUGCAUGGCCGUCUAAGUGGUGGGGUGACUUGUCUGCUUAAUUGCGAUAACGAACGAGACCUUAACCUGCUAAAUAAGCCCGCAUUGCUCCGGCAGU
rnacentral:rRNA from 1 species